rnacentral:rRNA from 1 species
CGAAACCAGGUGAUCUACCCAUGUCCAGGAUGAAGGUAAGGUAAUACUUACUGGAGGUCCGAACCCACGCACGUUGAAAAGUGCGGGGAUGAGGUGUGGGUAGCGGAGAAAUUCCAAUCGAACUUGGAGAUAGCUGGUUCUCUCCGAAAUAGCUUUAGGGCUAGCCUCGAGGUAAAGAGUCAUGGAGGUAGAGCACUGUUUGGACUAGGGGCCCUUCUCGGGUUACCGAAUUCAGAUAAACUCCGAAUGCCAUGUACUUAUACUCGGGAGUCAGACUGCGAGUGAUAAGAUCCGUAGUCGAAAGGGAAACAGCCCAGACCACCAGUUAAGGUCCCCAAAUAUAUGUUAAGUGGAAAAGGAUGUGGGGUUGCUUAGACAACCAGGAUGUUGGCUUAGAAGCAGCCACCAUUGAAAGAGUGCGUAAUAGCUCACUGGUCGAGUGACCCCGCGCCGAAAAUGUACCGGGGCUAAACAUAUUACCG